rnacentral:rRNA from 1 species
UUUAAAUUUAGAGUUUGAUCCUGGCUCAGGACGAACGCUGGCGGCGUGCUUAACACAUGCAAGUCGAGCGAUGAAACUUCCUUCGGGAAGUGGAUUAGCGGCGGACGGGUGAGUAACACGUGGGUAACCUGCCUCAAAGUGGGGGAUAGCCUUCCGAAAGGAAGAUUAAUACCGCAUAAUAU